rnacentral:rRNA from 1 species
UACGUAGGGGGGCGAGCGUUUGUCCGGAGUACUGGGCGUAAAGCGCACGCAGGCGGUCUGCUAAGUUUGGAGUGACAGUUGGUGGCUUAACUGCCAAAGUGCUUCGAAAACUGACAGACUUGAGGGCUUCAGAGGGACACGGAAUUCCGGGUGGAGUGGUGAAAUGCGUAGAGAUCCGGAGGAACACCAAAGGCGAAGGCAGUGUCCUGGGGAGUACCUGACGCUCAGGUGCGAAAGCCAGGGGAGCGAACGGG